ACUUGUACACCCACCACCCAUGUACUCAACUACCUCCACCUCCCCCCCUCCACACCAUCUGAAAGUGUUUACUGAAAAUACCGAUUUACUUCAAUAUAUCGCAAUGUAAAGAAAACAUUACAUCAUGACCUUCAGUAGUUUCUGGGAUGAUUUGUGAAGUUUGUCUGGCCAGUCUGCCACUGCUCUGCUCGAACAUGUUACAAAGUUCUUCCAUCAAUUAUACGAUAGUUAUUGCUGUAUUCGGUUUUAGACAUAUACCGAAUCUUUUAUUCUCAAACAAUAUUGGUGUUCAGAUUUCAGCAGAACAGUUGUUUUUAUUAUGUAAUAUUCAUAUGAUGCUUUGGGCUAUUGGUUCAAAGCCACUUGGACUCGACGGUCUCGCUUCAUGCAGGUCUGGGUUCAAUCCCCGCCCGUCCAAGUGGUUGGGCACCAUUCCUCCCCCCCGUCCUAUCCCAAAUGCUUAUCCUGACCCACCUUCCUAGAGCUAUAUGGUGGUAAUGGCUUGCCGCUUUCUCCUGUUACGAUGGCUUAGUGGAGGGAGGUCCUGGCACGUGUUGAAUUCUAACCAGAGUUAGGUGUGCUCUUGAAGGUUGAGGGAGAACAAUAUAUUUGUAUGAAUAUUUAUUGAAAUAUAAAAUUGGUAAAAAAAACAUACAAAAUAAGAAUGUAUUAACAAAGCUACAAUGAUGUAGAUAAAUUAUGAUGUAAGACAUAAUGUUUAAUAACAAAUACCCUGAGAUAAGAGGUGUAGAGAUGAGUAUGGUGCAGGUGGGAGUGUGCACCACCUGGUGAGUGUAGUGUGCACGUAUGGUGCAGGUGGGAGUGUAGUGUGCACGUAUGGUGCAGGUGGGAGUGUAGUGUGCACAUAUGGUGCAGGUGGGAGUGUAGUGUGCACGUAUGGUGCAGGUGGGAGUGUAGUGUGCACGUAUGGUGCAGGUGGGAGUGUAGUGUGCACGUAUGGUGCAGGUGGGAGUGUAGUGUGCACGUAUGGUGCAGGUGGGAGUGUAGUGUGCACGUAUGGUGCAGGUGGGAGUGUAGUGUGCACGUAUGGUGCAGGUGGGAGUGUAGUGUGCACGUAUGGUGCAGGUGGGAGUGUAGUGUGCACGUAUGGUGCAGGUGGGAGUGUAGUGUGCACGUAUGGUGCAGGUGGGAGUGUAGUGUGCACGUAUGGUGCAGGUGGGAGUGUAGUGUGUGUAUGGUGCGCCUAGAUCAUCCAACAAGGCCCACACCGAUGACAUGGGUGCCUUCCGUGACACCUAAAUUCUCAAGUGUUCUGAAAGUGCUCUUGUAUAUCAUACACAACUGCCUAGCAUACAAAAUAUAACUAUUGAUGAAACUACAGGUUGUCCUAUACGAGACGACUGCUACUUACAUCCAACUAAACUCACUAUUAUAAACCGCUUAACACACGUGCGAAAAACACACCAGUAAUUACACACGUAUUACGUCGUCCAGGAAUGUGUUCCACUAAACUAACAACACUUGAUGAUAGCAAUCACUUGAUGAUAGCAAUGUUGAGCCGUUGUCGAAGUGUCGAGGCUUGUGCUUCUCCUCUUGGCCUUGUAUCCCACGGCUUUUUGCACAUCAUCAACCAAAAAUAUAAAAAAACGUAAGAUUUCUUCAUUUAAGGCGAUUACAAGCCAGUGUUGUGUAAGAGAGUAUUGGUUUUAAUCAAAGCUGGAGUGGAUGGUUAUCGUGGGCGUCGUGUGUUUACCAAGGUUACUGCGUCAUGGCAGGUGGUGUGACGUCUCUCCCUCCACCCUAGACAACCUCGCCCUCUGCUUCCUCCUCACUCACAGAAACAAUGCAGAGUAGAAAUAUAUGUGGCUGACGGGAACAGGGGAGUUGUGGCCGUCUGGAGGAGGGCAAGAGCAGUAGAGAGGCGA